rnacentral:rRNA from 1 species
UACGUAGGCAGCGAGCGUUGUUCGGAAUUACUGGGCGUAAAGAGUGUGUAGGCGGUGCUCUAAGUUCGGUGUGAAAUCUCCUGGCUCAACUGGGAGGGUGCGCCGGAAACUGGAGUGCUUGAGCGUGGGAGAGGAAAGCGGAAUUCCUGGUGUAGCGGUGAAAUGCGUAGAUAUCAGGAGGAACACCGGUGGCGAAGGCGGGUCUCUGGGCCGAUAUUGACGCUGAGGAGCGAAAGCGUGGGGAGCGAACAGG